UUAGUGGGGGAGACUCCACGUCGAUUUAUCGAGUAAAAUUCUGUAUACAUAUUGAUAAUGACAAUAUGUACAUUUGUCUUGACUAAUUACGUGCCAGCAGUCGCGGCAAUACGUAAGAGACUAGUGUUAAUCAUCAUAAAUAGGUUUAAAGGGUACUCAGACGGAAAAAUUCGCCCAAAUAUAGGGGACAAUUUUUCUAGAGUUUUAUGUAAGAAGGUCGUACUCUAGAGUGGAGAGAUAAAAUUCUGUGAUACCUAGGGGACGGGUAAAGGCGAAGGCAAUCUUUUAUGUAAAAACUGACGUCGAAGGACGAAGGCAAAGGGAACAAAAAGGAUUAGAUACCCCAGUAGUCUUUGCAGACAAUUAUGAAUGCCAUAGGUUAGAUUUUUAAUUUAGUCUAUAAAUGAAAGUGUAAGCAUUUCACCUCAAGAGUAAGGCGGCAACGCAGGAACUGAAAUCACUAGACCGUUUCUGACACCAGCAAUGAAGUAUGUUAUUUAAUUCGGUGACCCACGAAAAACCUUACCACAAUUUGAAUAUUAAUAAUAAUGAUAUUAUUUUUUAUGCUUGAUAUGGCAAGCACUCAAUUUUCCCCUCCCCGUA
rnacentral:ncRNA from 1 species